AGGCCCUACGGGGGGCCGCCGUGCGGCCUAUUGGUCACUGGCCGCGCGUCUGAACCAGCCAAGUAGCGUGAAGGAUGACUGCCCUAUGGGUUGUAAACUUCUUUUAUGUGGGAAUAAAAUGUUCCACGUGUGGGAUUUUAUAUGUACCAUAUGAAUAAGGAUCGGCUAACUCCGUGCCAGCAGCCGCGGUAAUACGGAGGAUCCGAGCGUUAUCCGGAUUUAUUGGGUUUAAAGGGAGCGUAGGUGGAUUGUUAAGUCAGUUGUGAAAGUUUGCGGCUCAACCGUAAAAUUGCAGUUGAAACUGG
rnacentral:rRNA from 1 species